AUUGAUCACUGUCAUAGACAAGGAGAAAAACACGAAGAAAGGCGUGAUGGAACAAGAGGAAUCGCGUCACGAACCGAACAUCGCCACGAAACGUUUCAUACUGCGGGUUCUCUUAUCAUCGUCUGCCCGUCGUACCUGACAACGUAUACAGGUAUAUACAUUCAUACAAAAGCAAAUUGAACGCGCGUGAUCGUGUAUCUAGCGAGAAAGAAUGGAGAACAAUGGACCAGAUGUGGUUGUCGUCGAGUUAUGAUGGUUAUUUUACUGUUAUAGUAAGGAAACUUUUUAAUUGUAAAAAGCUGCUUGUAAUUGGAUGUGUUGAUUUGUAUCGACUGCGUUAUAAUUAAUGUUCUGAAAAUGGAAUUUUUGUUUUGGAUGAUAAUCCAGUCGAUCGCUCGUUUGUUUUUAAAAGUAUGUUUGACGAAUGUGAGGAAGUUGAAGUAUAUUUAGUUUUUAAUCUAUACUUUUGUUUAGAAACAACAAUUGAAAACAUGUAUUUAUACUUUUUAUCUUUAUUUUAGCCUUUAUUUCCGCAAAUGAAUAACUUGUUCCUAGAAAACUUUUAAAUUGUAUGACAUUACAGGGGGUCAAGUCAAGACCUUGCUAUAAUAUGGAAAUCGUUACAGAUGUCACAGUUGUUAUACAUAUGCAGAGAGUUAUAAACGUAUUAACCUUCAAUCGAUCACAACUUCGCUUAGAGAAGCCUUUUAUUUCAUUAAUUGUAUAUUUUCGUUGCAUUAAAUAUAUAAUAUAAAAUAAAAAUACAUGUAAGAGAAAAUAUGUCGAAUUAGAAAGCUAUUAGUGUCAUCAAUGAUCCAAAGAUGAUAGAAAGUUAGUAAAAUACAACACUGCAAUAAUAAGCAAGCGAGAAAUAAGCUUUAUAAAAUAUAUGAAUACGUAUUUGUUGGACUUGGUGGAAAAAAUAUCCUAACGAUUCUAUUUACAUAAAAAACUGGAAAUAAAUUAAACUUAAUCACCUACACAACCUAUUAACUGGUAGACCUGGAUGGAAAAAUGGAAAAUUAAUUUUCCAUGAAGACAUGAAGUUGAAAAAAUAUUCUUAUCUUAUAUUGGUUGGAAGUUUAGAUAAUAGCGAUUGGUAUCCGACUCUAAUUAACUAUUUCUCCACUGUGCACCUUAUCUACAAAUUGGACAAUAAAACAAGGGAGCGAAAGACAAAUGAUUCGGUACAUGUUUGGAAUGUUUCUGAGCAGAAAUUGACGCUUCUGAGAUUAAGAUAAGGGAAAACUAAGUAUUCAAUAAAAAUUUGUUCGGAUCUCUAUAAUUCCAUGUGAUUUAAAAGUUUCAUACUUUUGCAUCUAUAUUCUACUAUUUUCUACAUUUUUAUCAUUAUAUCAUUGAAUUUCAAGCGGGCAAUUUAUUUGUAGCACUUGUAAAUUGCUAUGUAUUUUCUUUGUGGAAAUAAAAGACAUAAUCAACAGUAUCUUUUUUCUUGCAGUAAGCAAGGAGACGUCUGGAUACAGAGGAAUGCAAAA